rnacentral:rRNA from 1 species
UCUUAGUGGCGGACGGGUGAGUAACGCGUGGGGAACCUGCCCUGUACAGGGGGAUAACACUUAGAAAUAGGUGCUAAUACCGCAUAAGCGCACGGUUCCGCAUGGAACAGUGUGAAAAACUCCGGUGGUAUACGAUGGAUCCGCGUCUGAUUAGCCAGUUGGCGGGGUAACGGCCCACCAAAGCGACGAUCAGUAGCCGGCCUGAGAGGGUGAACGGCCACAUUGGGACUGAGACACGGCCCAAACUCCUACGGGAGGCAGCAG